UACGUAGGGUGCGAGCGUUUAAUCGGAAUUACUGGGCGUAAAGCGUGCGUAGGCGGCUAUGUAAGACAGAUGUGAAAUCCCUGGGCUUAACCUAGGAACUGCAUUUGUGACUGCAUUGCUAGUAGUGUGGUAGAGGGAGAUGGAAUUCCGCAUGUAGCAGUGAAAUGCGUAGAUAUGCGGAGGAACACCAAUGGCGAAGGCAAUCUCCUGGACCUGCACUGACGCUCAUGCACGAAAGCGUGGGGAGCAAACA
rnacentral:rRNA from 1 species